rnacentral:pre_miRNA from 1 species
UUUAAGUAUAAUCGUGUGUGACCGUCCGUCUUAUUUAAACUUUUUUAAAAUUAGUAUUUUUAUUGUUAUUAAAUGAUAAAACAUGAACAAUACUUUAUACGUGACUUAUUUUUUUAAAAAAAAUUCAGAUAAAACGGACAUUUAAUCGUUGGAAAAAAACAUACAUCUGCACUUAAA